GAUGAACGCUGGCGGCGUGCCUAAUACAUGCAAGUCGAGCGAACAGACGAGGAGCUUGCUCCUCUGACGUUAGCGGCGGACGGGUGAGUAACACGUGGAUAACCUACCUAUAAGACUGGGAUAACUUCGGGAAACCGGAGCUAAUACCGGAUAAUAUAUUGAACCGCAUGGUUCAAUAGUGAAAGACGGUUUUGCUGUCACUUAUAGAUGGAUCCGCGCCGCAUUAGCUAGUUGGUAAGGUAACGGCUUACCAAGGCAACGAUGCGUAGCCGACCUGAGAGGGUGAUCGGCCACACUGGAACUGAGACACGGUCCAGACUCCUACGGGAGGCAGCAGUAGGGAAUCUUCCGCAAUGGGCGAAAGCUUGACGGAGCAACGCCGCGUGAGUGAUGAAGGGCUUCGGAUCGUAAAACUCUGUUAUUAGGGAAGAACAAAUGUGUAAGUAACUAGGCACGUCUUGACGGUACCUAAUCAGAAAGCCACGGCUAACUACGUGC
rnacentral:rRNA from 1 species